rnacentral:lncRNA from 1 species
UAUGCUCUUAUUCUUACCCAUAUAAUUUAUUCUUUCCUUUCUUACUUCAAUUACCUUCAAUCAAUCACCAUUCCACACACCACCACCAUAAUAAGAAUUUAAUUCCCUAUUUAAUAAGCUACAUACUCAUAUAUUAAUUGAACACUUGGUCAAUAUAAUGUUGUACUAACACUAUUACAAAAGUUUGUUAUACACAAAAAAUUUAAGAACUAGCAAUUUUUGGCCGGGGAUGGCGGAUUGGGGUCCGGUCGUGAUCGCGGUGGUGUUGUUCGUUCUGCUAAGUCCGGGGUUAUUGUUUCAGCUGCCGGGGAGGGGCAGGGUGGUGGAAUUUGGGAGCAUGCAAACAAGUGGAUUGGCUAUUUUGAUUCAUACUAUCAUUUUCUUUGGGCUUAUUACUAUCUUUCUAAUUGCAAUUGGUGUUCAUAUCUACACUGGAUAAGCACAUUUUAGCAAUCUAGCACUAUAUGAUUUUAUUUUAUAUGAAUUCUAGGACUUAGUAGUUUAUUCUGCCAAUGGUGUUUUACAUUUAUAUUCUUUGUCGGUCUUGCUUAUUUAUUUUUAUGUUAUACUUGUAAAAAGUAUUUAAGGAUUGGUGAUGUUUUUCUUUCAUUUCUAAACCUUUUAUGGUGUAUUCUCUUUUGUUGUCUUUAAUCAUACAUAUAACAUAUUAACCUAGUUUGAAAGUAGUUUAAAUUUAUCUUGGAUCUACACCUCACUUGACAAGAGGUUCAAUCAAG